AAUGAGAGGGUGCUGCAAGCAGUGCCCUGAUUGGCUGGCUAGAGAAAAACUGUGGGUUACAACAUACAGAACCAGACAGAACAGACGUAUAUCUUAGCAGUUACUGUAUCAGGUAUCAUGGAUGUUGAACAAUUCAGGAAGUCCAGCUGUCUGAAAGUCUGAGAAGAAGGUGUUCCUGUAUUAACCAUAUCCAUAUGGUAAUCCUUAGACACAAACAGAACAGGUACACUAUGGAAGUGCAGAACAACUGGGACUCUGGCUGCC